rnacentral:rRNA from 1 species
UACGUAGGGGGCGAGCGUUGUCCGGAAUCAUUGGGCGUAAAGAGCGUGUAGGUGGACUGGAAGGUCUGGUGUGAAAGCCCGGGGCUCAACCCCGGAGUGUCACUGGAAACCAACAGUCUUGAGUCCGGAAGAGGAGAGUGGAAUUCCUAGUGUAGCGGUGGAAUGCGCAGAUAUUAGGAGGAACACCAAUGGCGAAGGCAGCUCUCUGGUACGUGACUGACACUGAGACGCGAAAGCGUGGGGAGCGAACAGG